CAACAGGGAUUGCCCCAGUAACGGCGAGUGAAGCGGCAACAGCUCAAAUUUGAAAUCUGGCUCUCGGGCCCGAGUUGUAAUUUGUAGAGGAUGCUUUUGGUGAGGUGCCUUCCGAGUUCCCUGGAACGGGACGCCAUAGAGGGUGAGAGCCCCGUCUGGUUGGACGCCGAACCUCUGUAAAGCUCCUUCGACGAGUCGAGUAGUUUGGGAAUGCUGCUCUAAAUGGGAGGUAUAUGUCUUCUAAAGCUAAAUACCGGCCAGAGACCGAUAGCGCACAAGUAGAGUGAUCGAAAGAUGAAAAGAACUUUGAAAAGAGAGUUAAACAGUACGUGAAAUUGUUGAAAGGGAAGCGCUUGUGACCAGACUUGGGCUUGGUUGAUCAUCCGGGGUUCUCCCCGGUGCACUCUUCCGGCCCAGGCCAGCAUCAGUUCGCCCUGGGGGACAAAGGCUUCGGGAACGUGGCUCUCUCCGGGGAGUGUUA
rnacentral:ncRNA from 3 species